UUACGGUCAUACCACGUUGAAACAACGGUUCUCGUCCGAUCACCGAAGUUAAACAACGUCGAGCCUAGUCAGUAUCUAGAUGGGUAAACACUCAGGAAUACCAGGUGCU